rnacentral:tRNA from 1 species
GGAGGAAUACCCAAGUGGUUGAAGGGAUCGGUCUUGAAAACCGACAGGAGGUAAAAUCUCGCGUGGGUUCGAAUCCCACUUCCUCCGCCA